rnacentral:piRNA from 1 species
UCGACCAAAAUUUAUUUCUUG